AGGAGAGGCUGGGGGUACUGCCCUCCUCUAGAGAGGUAUGGGGCAAAGGCUGUUCCUGUUCCCUAACCGGGAGGUGCCGGGGAAACCCUGCUUGGGCCUGAGGCAGCAAAGCUGCUCCCUGCUGCAGGCAAAACUACAAGCUGCAGCUUCAGCCUAUUGUGUGGAAAAUGUCCAGAGCUGGUACAACACCAGGGGAAGAAGUGAUGGGCAUCGAUGGCAAGGGCACUGCAGCAGCACCCAGCAGACCCAGCUGGCUUGGUGGGCUGUGGUGAGCCAUGGAGACUCAAGGACGAGUGUAACACAACAGACAACAUCUUGACUGAGGACGAUUUUACAUUUCUUUUAUCCGUUGCAAAAACCUUUGUAACGUGUGGAGUGUAAAGCUCACAAAUUGCAUUGUAAAGGAACUACCAUAAAGUAUAUGCUUCCAAUGGACCUUUUACAAUAUAACACAAAAUUCAAAUGACAUUUUUUAGGAAAGCACUUUAAACUUUCACACUUAUGUCCUGACAACAUUAGAGUACUGUAAGCUGUAAACUGUAAGAAGUUUUAUGUGAUUAAAUAAAAUCAGCAUUACAAUUUCUAAGUAUUGUAAUUAUUAAACAGAUCAUAACAACAAGAUAUAAUUAUAACGUAAACGAAGCUCAGGAUACUGGUACUGAGAAAACUCGAUAAAAUUCUUUGUAGAUUUAUAUUUGCACAUAUUAAAAUAGAUAACAACCGGAGAAGAGGUUACAGUAUUUCAUCGUACAUAUUGAUAUCAGUGUUUUGCAAGCAGCAGUCUAUACAACAUCAUCCUCAUUUUAUUAUUAUUUUACAGAAUCAAUUCUACUUUAAAAACCAUCUCCCCGUCAAAUACUGCUGCCAGGUCUCAAGACAACAUAUGGAAGGAAAUAUUUAAAAAUAUCAGAUUUUGUUAAUUGUCUGUGUAUGUGUGGACAUGUGAGAUUUUAUAUAUAUAAAUAUAUAAAAUCAUAAACCCCACUGAACCUUCAAAAUGGAACUACCUCUAGGUAAGAAAUACAAGACCUUUUUAAUACACAUAAAGGGUUUAUUUAUACCUGAGACAUUUUUGCAUAUUGAUGUCUUUGUACCUUUACCUGUAGGUACUCACAAAAGUCCUUUACUCUUUUCUGGGAUCUCACACAAAACCCACCAGAGUUAGGUGGGUUCUCCCCACUAACUCAGUGGAGUUUGGCUGAGCCCUUCCUUAUCUAACCUGGAUGUAUAAACAGAGAUGUAAGAGAGUGAAAUAUAUAUAUUUAAAUGAACAGUUGCUGUACAAGUGGACAGGCUGGUUUAUAUCAAUCCAGAGCUAGUUCAUCAUUUUCACAAUGUCUGGUUCAAAAAAGAAUUAUAGUCCUUCAUGCAGGGUGAUUCACGUUUCUACUUCUUGGUUCAAACAAACAAACAAAACCACAACAACUUCUUGAAAUAUUUCUCCAGGUCACUGGAUAUACACGGUAUGUUGAAAAUGCCCCUUCGUGGACGUUUCCUGGUUCUGGAGAUCAACCCAUUUCUCCACCCAGCGAGCAAGAGAACCAGGAGUGGAGGAGCAAUAAGUUGACGUAGCUACAUUACAUUAAGGUCACAGGUCAAUGCUGAUGGACUAAGGUAUUCAAGCAAAAUUAGGGAGCCCAGGAGCCCAAUUUCUCCUGAAAAUGAAGGCGCGUGGAUGCCUAACUCCUGCAGAUUCAUCUAAAACUCUCAGCUGCGCACAAUCCAGCUUGAAGCUCUUCAGCCCUGCCCGUCACUUGUGCUGAGUGUUGAAGCACAAGCGAUAGCAGGGCCACAACCUAAGCAAGGCUCUUACAGAAUUUCACAGUGCUAUUUAUUUUGGUAAAUACCAAACUAAAUGUAAAGGUACCUUCUGAAUUAUAAACAGCUCAACUGAAAAAAAAAAAAAUAAAAAAUCCACUGUGUUUCACUCCAUUUUGCUUCUGACAGGGACUUUCCUAGAAGUGCUUACAUGCAAGUAUCAUGCUAUCAUAUCUGAUAACGCAGCAAUUAGAAUUGCUUAUUUUAGUAAAUAUAGUUUAAUCAAUGGAAAAAUACUAGUGAGAGUGAAAUAAAAUGUGCUUUUAGACAUGGAAUUGGACACACUUGAAAAAUCAGGAAAAAUAAUAGUAAAAUAAUUCAUGAAGACAUCACGAAAUGAAUCGGCUUCCAAGUAGAUCAGUAUACCCUCCUAAUACUGCACAAGCAUUUCUCACACGUUAAUCUGCACUAUGGUUUUUGCACUGUAUUUUACAGAAAAGGCUUAACUUUAGUGACGAUGGUCAACAAAUUUGUCUUUAAACAGCUCUUUGUUCUACUGUACAGGCAUACAAUGGGAAAAAGGAAAGCUACAUCUCACUGCAAGUAGAACAUCAUAGACCUUAAGACAUUUUAGAAAUGUUUGAUUUAAAAUAGUGAUAUGUAGCAUAUUUCCGUGUAAAAUAAAUCAAACACUCUUUUCCAAGUAGCAGAAAUUUCUAAGACCUGACACUUGUAAACAGAUAAAAUGUAGUCAAUGCUUUCAGAAAUGAGGAGGAGGACGUAAACUAAACCAGCAGUGAAGGCUCAGCAUGACACAGUGACAUGUUAAGCAUCAGAUGUAAGAAACUACUGCUUACAUUUCCAGUUGACUGUUUUGAUUUUACAGCCACAUCCCUUCUGUCUCCUUUUCCUUACUAUUCCUUGCUGUACCACGUUCAGCAUCUAAACUGGAGGCGUUUCAGGGAGAACAACCUCAGAUCUGUCUGUUCCAAACCUGCUCAAACCGAAGUCAGUGGUGCAAACCUCUCUGACUUCAGAACUGCCAGCGCCUUGUAACCCAUCGAUGGAGUACCAAGGGCACACGUUUCACUUCCCCUUUUUGUAAUUCAGGAGCUCUCUAGCGUGAUUGCAGACAGCAUUACAACUUUCAUGGAGCAACUGGCACAGGGAGGCACUUAUGUGACGUUUAAAACUUAUCUUUGGUAAACACACACAAAUUUGUAUCUAAUGUUUUACUUCCUGAUCAUAAGACAAAUCUUCAUUUGCUACCAGUGUAUGUGUGCAAGUAACAAAGCUUACACAGGACAUUGCUAUUAUAAAACAGAUUUUUCAAAUGCCACUGCCAAGGAUUUAAUUCACUUAAAAACAACAUGGUCUUGGGCUUUUUUUUUUUUCCUGACUCCAUUUAUUAUGCAUUGAAGCAUCUCUGAUCAAUAACAAAUUAGCAAUAAAAAGCAAGCCCUAUGUGCUCAAUUUUCACCUUCUUUCUCGUUCUAUCACCUUGUUGUUCAGGACUACUAUAAUCAGAAUAGUUGUAUCUCUUUCAUUAUCUGUGAGUCAGAUCCUGGGGUUCAACACUGCACUGCUUAAGCGGCCAAAUCUCUCACUCAGGUCAGCGGAAAUUUUGGAUUCACAAAAAGGCUGAUUCUGCUCUUGGUAGAGAUGUUUCCUGCUAACCCCUGCUGACGAGCACUCUGGUGAGGGGAGGGACCUCAUGUCUCUGAUGGGAGUUGAGAGUGACCAGACACGAGCCUACAAAGAGGAGCUCAGUCCACUGAGAGGCAGACCAUCAAUGCGUAUUUUCAAAAGGUGCUGCAAAUAAAUGUUGCUGGAACUGUGUGUGUAUAACUGGUGGAUGCUUUAGUUUAAUGUGCCCGGAACACUAGCAUUUCUAGAAUUAGGCAUUUCUACUGAGAGGCACCUCAAUAGAAGGCUUAAUUUUUCAUUUCCACUGUUUAAAUUUUGCUUAAGAAUUUAUUAGAACCCAGACCUUAGAGCAUUUUGUCUUAUAAAAUUAGAAUAAUUUAUAUCCUUCUCUUUUCAUCCAAAAGAAAAGUACAGCCCAAACACACAUGGGGGUAUAAAUACAUCAUGAAUAACAAUAACCAUUUUACUCAUUUUAUGAUCUGCUUAAAGGUGUUUGAGACAUUGACCAACCACACAACUUUGGCAACUUGCACAAAAUUAUGUCCUGAAAUCAAAAGUGAUGAUAAAACUUGGUUUAAUGAGGCGUUUAUUACGGAGAGAACUGGAAAGAGAGAG